AAAACAGGUUUUGAUAUAACUCUGGUUUAUUAACGAAGGGUUUAUAUCUUAUGUUGUAGUUGUAUUUAACGUCAUGAAUAUGAUCAAAUUUGGAUAGUUAUUUCUACCGAGAUUAACAACAGUACAUAUUUCAUUUGUACAUAGCCAGUUUCAAAAAUGGGGCGCUGUUGCAGUAAAGAAGACGUAGAAACAUAUUGUCUGACGGAACUCAUACUUAUAUGCAAAUAAGAAAAAGUCGACCAGGAGAGGUGGCCAGUUGGUUCCCAUGGAAAUGGUACAACCUGUUAGAAAAGUUUACCUACACAUUCAACAAAUAUGUUGUGAAUGAGCCUACAGAUCUCUUGUUGUUCAGUGUAGAAGGUCUUUUUUUCGGGCUUAAUUUCAACAACAUAUGUAGAAUUAUAUCACAAAACAAAGAAAUUGUAGUGUAUGGUAUCAUUUUUAGGAAGGAAAGCAUUGUCGAUUAUUUCGUUAAGACGAGUGUUUAAUUUUUCACGUGAUAUGUUGGUGUAAAGUGUGGAAACAUCGAAGGUUUCAAUAUAUUUUAUUUCGGAAAAUGAUCGAGAUGUUAUAUUUUCCAGACGUUCUUUUGAAGCCUUAAGAAUCCACAUAUGGUUAAUGCCACUAUGCGAGUAAACAGUGUAACAGUAUUUCUGUAACCUCUCUUUAACAGCGGACAAAAUAUUUGUUAAUCAAACGGACAUUGCAUUUGCAGAACAUGCAGAUAAGCCGACAGUGUAGCGAGCGAACAUUUAUACAGAUUUUCAACUUAUGGAUUCUUCGUUUGAUCAACGACUAAUUGUUUUACCCCAUUCUGACAGAUUGUCUAGUUUAAUCUUUUCUCAUUUUGCCCAUGCUCUGGUGUAAUCCUCAACGAAAUCCGUUAUUACGUUAAAGAUAUAUUCAAAAUGAUGUGCUGUGGCUCUCUAAAUUCGGAACCAUGAGAUAUCAUCUUCAGGAGAUUUGCAUGUUGAAUUAUAUUUAGAUCACCAGUAAUUACAUGGCCAGAGGGCUUCUAAAUAUACAGAGAGUGGGAAGUCACAUGUAAGAAGGUUUUAAAAAUAUUCUUCUAAAUCAAGAUCUGGCAAUGCUUGUUUAUUAUCAAAUAUUUCAGGUGCAAUGGUUUUGGUGUAACUAUAGGAGACAAUAGGAACAGAAUUAUUUUGAAGAUAAAGCGGAAUUUUAGAUAUUACUUCUUUGUGAUGAAGAACGUUGCUGAUGUUGAAAGCAUCUAUAUCUUUAUUUGAAAACGGAAUUGAAAGGAACUUCCUAAUUUCAACGUGCAAUUGUUUAGAUCGUACUGGUUUAAUAAACGGAAAAUAGCUACAUCACAAAUUAGACUUGCUAGUUUGUAUAUUGGGAAAACAUAUCUAUGCAUCCUUUGUCUAAGGCAUAAUAUCUUAAACAGUUUCAAACGUUUACAAGCAGUGAAAAUAGAAUGUUAUAUAAUGUAAACAAAGGGCAUCAAAUCUCCCAUGGAGUGAUCUGGAUUUGGAAGACUUUUUAACGUUUGAACGAUGAAAAUGUUUUUGACGAUGACUACGUUUGGAUCUUUAUUUACUGGUGAAUAAACUCAAUACAUUUUCAUUGCAGCAGGCUGGACUAGACAAAUUUCCUACACCUUAGAUGUUAUCAUUACAACCAUAUGGCAUUGCAGUACCUUAUUCACUUAUACAAAAAACAGCUCUAUAUAUUCAGAGAGGCGUACUAAGUAUCAGGCUAUUAGUAUGGUUGUAAGUUUUCUCAGUGAUGCGUACAUUCAUAGAUAAAGAAGAAUCCUGGUCCGGUUGAUUGCAAUGGUUAUAAAGAAUCCUGCAGAGCGGAUGUUUAGAUCGGUGUUAGUUGAUCCUAUUACCAGAAGGAAUUCACCUUUGGGAAUAACAUGAACUCCAAAUGAUCCAAAACUGCUGCGUUGACAGGGUUAUAUUCCCUUCAUAGGGAUGCAUGACUCGUCAUUGUAAUCAAGAUGCAGUCAAACUGUCGUUAAAGACUGCCACAGGAGGAAUAUCCAAAAAUAUAGUCGACCUACAAAACGUUGUUAAAGAAUCGGCCUGGAAAAGGUAUAGCGAUAGUAGACAAAAGGAUUUUCCAACGGCAGUAAAAAAGGUUCGAUUAGAUUUUGAUUGGACAGGUGUAAAAUUCAUUCCAACGAAACUUAAAUAUUCAGAUCCCGGAACAGUUCAAUAUGAAUCAAAUAUUCUAUUUGAAUCAGUAUUCAAAAAUAAUAGCAACCAAGUGCAACACCAUUCUUUGAAAACUGAACAACAGACCACAGGAACAUGCAAGAGUUCAAUAACGAAAGGUUAUACAACUGGCUUCAAUGUUGGCCUGACACUGUCUGCACCUGCCGAUAUAGUGGGGACAACAGCUGGUUUUUCUAAAGGUUUCUCAGUUGAAAAUACGUUGGCAAAUGAAGAUCAAAGAACAAUGACUUGGUCGGCAGAAGGUGUGUUGUUAGUCGAAAAGCAAUCUAUGCUUACUGCAAAACUCCAAAUAACAGAAAAGCAAAGCUCUUAUACUUUUACAACUAAUGUUGCAGUAAAAGGAGAAGUUAUAGUUACGUUCUAUGAAAGAAAAAAUAACAGAUAUCUGAUGGAAUACAGAGCACCAAUAAGAACAAUUUUAGUUCAAAAGAAGGAUAAGUUUAAGGAUGCAAAAGGAAAAAUAUUUGUAGAAGACAUUGAUGGAACAGCUUAUGUGAAAGUUGAAGGGGAAUGUAUUUUCAAAUAUGGUAUCAAACAAGAAAUUAUUAUAAACCAGAACAGUAAUAAAGAACAAAUGGUUUUGUCCUGAAAUUCAAAAUAACAAUACAGAUGAUAAUUCUUACAAUUUGUUUUAUUCCAAAAACAACUUUAACAACCAUUGCAAAUAUGAGAAAAGCAUAUAUUGUGUUAACUCUGGAAUUCAAAUUUACAAACAAAAAGCAAAGAGAAAGCGCAGUUACUGCAGUUCUUCGUUUAUAAAUGCAGAAAAAAAGUCUGACUUUCAAAACACAACAAGGGUCGUUAAACGAUUUCUUGAUAAACGGCCUGAACAAUGAGUUGAAUUAUAAUGAAUUAUAUUUGACGAAGAACAGUUAGCUCCAGUACAUACUAGAAUAAUUAAAAAAAAAGUUUUAUCUGAA